rnacentral:rRNA from 1 species
UACGGAGGGUGCAAGCAUUAAUCGGAUUUAUUGGGCGUAAAGGGCGCGUAGGCGGUAAGGAAAGUCAGAUGUGAAAUUCCGGGGCUCAACCUCGGAGCAGCAUCUGAAACUUCCAUACUUGAGGAAAAGCGGGGAAAACGGAAUUCCACAUGUAGCGGUGAAAUGCGUAGAUAUGUGGAAGAACACCGGUGGCGAAGGCGGUUUUCUAGCUUUUUCCUGACGCUGAGGCGCGAAAGCGUGGGGAGCAAACAGG